GAGCGGCGGCGGCUCCGCCGCGCUGAGCGCGGUGCGCGCUGCUCCCGCGGCCGGCCCGAGCCUAGGGGAGGCGCCGGGUCGGGGAGCGGUGGCCGAACCGGAACCCCCCGGCCAGGGGCGCGCAGCCAGGAGGGAGGGAAAGGCGCUGCUGGAUGAAGAUCCGAGCUCCAGGGCUGCUGUUUUCCAAGGAUUUUGGGAUUUCCAAACUCUUCCCAUCAGCUGGAGCAGAACUCAGGGCAGGAUGGAGAUAAAGUCUCAGCUGUGAGCAUGGAAAAAUUCCAGGAAUGUGGAUGAAAACAGCAGGAAUUACGUUGGGAUCAGGGUGGGAAAAGCUGGAUCCAACUCCAGGUGUGUCCAGAGGUGACUCCUGGGCUGAAUCUUCGGGAAUUUUUCAUGGAAUUUGUGCUCCUGGUGCUGCUGGAAACCUUUGGAAAAGAAGUUUUCUCCUGGAAAAAAAUUUCCUGGGACAAGCUGGGAUUUAAAAGGAACUUCUGGGAAUCCAGAGCUGCUUUUUCCUUUGUUGUUUUUUUCUUUCCAAAGAAAAAUGUGGAUUUUGAUUGUUUGAAGGUGCAGAAAAUUCAUUUUUCUUUCAUUAUUGAGGGAAUUUAUUCCCAGUUCCAAGCCAAAAUUCCAUGUUCAAAGCUGCUCCUGCCAUCGUUUGUAUUACAAGAGGUUGGGAAUUCUAAAAAAAAUGGGAAUUAUAAUAAUGGGAAUAAAUUUGAAAGGAUAUUUUUCCAGGGUA